AUGUUGGGGGGAUGCUGAACCCCACCCCUGUGGGAUACUGAGAGACCGUCACAUGGCCACUACGGCUGUCAGCAGUAACAAUGCCGUUUAUUGAAUGCCUGCUUCAUGCUCGCUGCAGUUCAUUUCCUGUUCGUGGCUUAGAGCGCGCUGCGCACGUGCCUGGCUCACUCUCUGGGUCCAGAUGUUAAUACCGGUGCUAACCAUUGAGCGGCUGCUGUGGGCUGGACCGUGUAGGGUUGAUUCAUUGCUUUAUUUAACUAGCACUGUUCCAUGAAUCGGAGGCUGUUUUGGUCCAUGUUUUACACGGUAAGACAGAAUUCAGAGAGCAGUGGCUUGCCCUGGUUAGAGAGAUCGCCAGAUAAGUGAUGUUAUUGGCUUCCAAAGCAUGCGUGCCUUCUUCUCAAUGCUCAAAAAGCCCAUCAGUUGACCUUAUACAUGUGUUAUGAACUGAAAGGAAAAAAAAAACAUAUAGAAAAGUAGCCCCAAGCUCCGGGCUCUCAGCAGGCAGCCCCAGAGGCAGGCAGUGUCAUUAGGAAAAUACAUCCUGUCUGUUGAUGGAGUUAUUUGAGGUUCAGCACCUUUGAUCAGCACUGCCAAAUUCAAAACACUUUUCUGGCCUGCUGCUGAACCCUGGCUCCCUCCCAGGCUGCCAGUGCCCUGCUGGACAUAGGCAUGUGAGACUGAGAGCCAGGCACUGCCUGUGAGUGGCUUCAUGACUCCAUCUAACCAGGAUGGAGGGAAUGCAGGAGCAAAAACCUAAAGAACAACACCUGCUGCUAGCUGCAGUGUGCACAUGCGUGUGGAAAGUGUUCACCCCAUACACAUGUGUGUGUGUGUGUACACACGUAUACAUGCUUGAACAUUCACCUUACCCACAAACAUACAUACAUAUUUACAGUCAGGAACAUCUACACGUGUGCACAUAUACUGUGAACAUGCAUACACUCAAUACAUAUGUGUAUAUAUUGUGUGUGUAAAUAUAUAUGCACACAUCUCUGCUCUCAUUUGUUUCUCCACUCCAUCCAUGGGUGCCACACACUCUGUCCAGUGUCCUCCUUUCAUUUGGUCACAUGGUCAUCUUCUUACAAUGCCAUCAGCCCUGUUGGUUUGGGGCUACCUUCCUCCUGUUGACCGCAUUGCCUCCUGAGUGUCUGUCACAAGGCCAUAGUCGGAAGCGUUGGACAGGGGCUGUGCACAGGACAGGACUCACCUCAAAUAACCCAGGGAAGAACUUUUAUCUCACUUGUUGGAGAGAGUAAUGAUGUCCCCAGGAGCCCAGCUCUGUGCCUAGGUGCUAUAAACCCAGACCUGGCUAAUGUUGGCACUGGGGGAUACCCCAGAAUCCUUCUCACAACAGCACAGAGAAAAACAUGCAAGCCUGCUUGUGCUCAGCCACCCUCUUAGCAAAUGGCCUCUGUCAGGGAGAAGGAACUUCCGUGGAAAGAUAGUGGGGGGCGAGGGGGGCAGAAGGAAAAGUAAGAAAAGAGAAGAAUUCGGUAUAGGAGAGGAGGUCCUCACGUGCUGGAUUCUGGGCAGCAGACAAAGCCAUAGCUAUUUCAGUGACCCCUGGAGUCCUAGAUGGAUUGUACAAACUCAACCAUAAAUCUCCCCAGUGUGUGGCCUGUGACUAGGUCCCUGUCUUACAUACCUGACUUGACCUGCCUCUGAGAAGUUCUGCCUGGGAAGGAGGCCGGGAAGGGCCCAGUGGUUGGCAGUCACAAGGCUAAGCUCAAACUUGGCAGUGCUGUGACAUUCCAAGGAUAGGAGCCAGAUAGGCUGGCAGGGAGGAACCACCAGGUCCUGCCUUGACGUUGACUCCACUGGGCAAUGAAUGGUAUGUGGCAUGCCAAUGUUCAGUGUCUCCAGAGGACCUUGUGUCUCCCUUCCUUUGACAGAUGAGGGAGUGUUCCUUCAGCAGGUGUGUAUACAAGCUGUGUGGUGCAUCUCAGUUUAAUACUAGCUUGGGGAGCACCAGAUGGAGUCACACAGCAUUCAGUAGUUCAGAUAGACCUCUGGGUUCCCAAAGCCCUGAGUACCAUCCCCCCACACCCCCACCAUGUACCACACCUUACAAUCUGAAAAAGGAGCCUCUGCCAUAAUGAGCGUGUGUGCCAUUUCAAACUAAAAGUCCAGGUUUGUGGGAGAGAGACCUGUGCUCCAAUCCUGACCGUCGCCACGGGAGCGCUUUCUCUGGUCCCCCAUCCUGGUGUCUGAGCAGAAUGGAGAAACCCCCAAGGUUCUGUCUACCUCAGAAGCAGAAGCUUUGGAGGAGAUGGAACUGGGCUUGGGUUUGGUCUGAGACCCUCCUUGUGGGUGAAUUCAGCAAUUCCAUGGGCCGUAGUAACUGCGUAUGUGUCCGGCCCUGGGUUUUACC
rnacentral:lncRNA from 1 species